rnacentral:rRNA from 1 species
GACGAACGCUGGCGGCGUGCUUAACACAUGCAAGUCGAACGGAAAGGCCCUGCUUUCGUGGGGUUCUCGAGUGGCGAACGGGUGAGUAACACGUGAGUAACCUGCUCUUGACUUUGGGAUAACUUCAGGAAACUGGGGUUAAUAUCGGAUAGGAGCUCCUGCUCCAUGGUGGGGGUUGGAAAUUCUCGGCUGUUGGGGAUGGACUCGCGGCUUAUCAGCUUGUUGGUGGGGUAGUGGCUUACCAAGGAUUUGACGGGUAGCCGGCCUGAGAGGGUGACCGGCCACAUUGGGCCUGAGAUAGGGCGCAGACUCCUACGGGAGGCAGCAGUGGGAAAUAUUGCACAAUGAGCGGAAGCCUGAUGCAGCAGCGCCGCGUGCGGGAUGACGGCCUUCGGGUUGUAAACCGCUUUCGCCUGUGACGAAGCGUGAGUGACGGUAAUGGGUAAAGAAGCACCGGCUAACUACGUG